AACAGUCUGAAAUAUGCGUUAAGCUCUUAUUUUGAACCUACACUUUUGCUACGGGAGUUCAAUAUCUAGAUGCGGAAAUGUACUUUCAUGUGAGUCCCCUUUGCGGCAUUGAAACUGAUUGAAACAUCUGUGCGGACACCCACCUAUCGUGAGAUAGGGAUCAAAAUCAGAGUACCGGUAUUUUGGAUUAUUA
rnacentral:other from 1 species